UACGUAGGGGGCUAGCGUUGUUCGGAAUUACUGGGCGUAAAGCGCGCGUAGGCGGACCUGCAAGUCGGGGGUGAAAGCCCGAGGCUCAACCUCCGGAACUGCCUUCGAUACUGCGGGUCUCGAGUCCGGGAGAGGUGAGUGGAACUGCGAGUGUAGAGGUGAAAUUCGUAGAUAUUCGCAAGAACACCAGUGGCGAAGGCGGCUCACUGGCCCGAUACUGACGCUGAGGCACGAAAGCGUGGGGAGCAAACAGG
rnacentral:rRNA from 1 species